GGAUUGUGGCUCAGUGGUAGAGCACUUGUCUAGCAUGCAUGAGGCACUGGGUUCGAUCCCCAGCACCA
rnacentral:tRNA from 1 species